CCUGCGGGCCAGACAGCCGCGGAGGCAACGUCCUUCGAGGAAAGUCCGGACAUCGCAGGGCAGGGCGGUCGGGAAACCGACCCGGGGAAACCCGCGGGAAAGUGCCACAGAAAACAGACCGCCGAUGACCCGCCGUAUUCGCGGCGGCGUACAGGCAAGGGUGAAACGGUGCGGUAAGAGCGCACCGGCGUCGUGGCGACACGGCGGCCAGGCAAACCCCGCCCGAUGCAAGGCCAAGCAGGACCGUUCGCAGGUGGCCCGCCGAGGUCCAGGUCGGCCGCACAAGAUGGAUGGCUGUCCAACGACAGAAUCCGGCUUACCGGCCCGCUAAGGAAAA
rnacentral:RNase_P_RNA from 1 species